rnacentral:rRNA from 1 species
UACGGAGGGUGCAAACGUUGCUCGGAAUUAUUGGGCGUAAAGCGCACGUAGGCGGCCGACUAAGUCGGGUGUGAAAGCCCUGGGCUCAACCCAGGAAGUGCACUCGAAACUGGUCGGCUUGAGUAUGGAAGAGGGUCGCGGAAUUCCCGGUGUAGAGGUGGAAUUCGUAGAUAUCGGGAGGAACACCAGUGGCGAAGGCGGCGACCUGGGCCAAUACUGACGCUGAGGUGCGAAAGCGUGGGGAGCAAACAGG